UACGAAGGGGGCUAGCGUUGCUCGGAAUCACUGGGCGUAAAGGGUGCGUAGGCGGGUCUUUAAGUCAGGGGUGAAAUCCUGGAGCUCAACUCCAGAACUGCCUUUGAUACUGAGGAUCUUGAGAAUGGGAGAGGUGAGUGGAACUGCGAGUGUAGAGGUGAAAUUCGUAGAUAUUCGCAAGAACACCAGUGGCGAAGGCGGCUCACUGGCCCAUAACUGACGCUGAGGCACGAAAGCGUGGGGAGCAAACAGG
rnacentral:rRNA from 1 species